CGCGGGGCUGUCGUCGUCGCGGAGGGAGACUGCGGCGCCGAGCCGGGCGCUGCCCACUUCGCUGCGACUUUCCAGCGCUUCCCUGCCCGGCUGUGCGGCGAGGAGACGGCUCGGAGCUGGAAUCCCUCACGUAACCGGGAAAAAUGAAGGCAGCAGAUGAGCCUGCCUACCUGACAGUGGGAACGGAUGUCAGUGCCAAGUACCGUGGUGCCUUCUGCGAGGCAAAGAUUAAGACAGUGAAAAGGCUUGUGAAAGUCAAGGUGGUCCUGAAGGGGGAUAACUCAACUCAAUUAGUUCAAGAUGAUCAAGUGAAAGGACCUCUAAGAGUUGGUGCCAUGGUUGAAACCAAAAUGCCUGAUGGAUCCUUUCAAGAAGCUGUUAUCAGCAAGUUAACAGAUGCUAGCUGGUAUACUGUAGUUUUCGAUGAUGGUGACGAAAGGACCUUGAGACGAACUUCGUUAUGCUUGAAGGGAGAAAGGCACUUUGCAGAAAGUGAGACACUCGAUCAAUUGCCACUAACCAACCCAGAGCACUUUGGAACUCCAGUUAUUGGGAAGAAAUCUAAUAGAGGAAGGAGAUCUUCUCUUCCUGUAACUGAAGAUGAAAAGGAAGAAGAAAGUAGUGAAGAAGAGGAUGAAGAUAAAAGGCGUCUCAAUGAUGAACUGCUUGGCAAAGUUGUGAGUGUGACCUGUAAUUCUGAGAAGGCAGACUGGUAUCCAGCUUUGGUUGUUUCUCCCAGCUGUAAUGAUGACGUCACAGUGAAAAAGGACCAGUGUUUAGUCCGAUCCUUUGCAGAUUCCAAAUUUUACUCAGUAGCAAGAAAAGACAUUAAAGAAGUAGAUGCUCUAAACUUACCAAAAUCGGAGUCCUCGCCUAAAAAAGGGCUUCAGGAAGCAAACACGUUUCUCAGCACAAAGGUGGUUCCUCGGAACUGGAAGAUGGACAUAAGUGAAAUUAUGGAAUCCUCUAGCAGUGAUGAGGAAGAUGGAGCUGCUGCAGAAACUGAUGAAGAGGAAAUAAAAAGAGAAGAGAAAAAUGAAGAAGUGCUGCCCGAGGAAGAGCUUGAUCCUGAAGAGAGGGACAACUUCCUCCAACAGCUCUAUAAGUUUAUGGAAGACAGAGGUACUCCUAUCAAUAAACCACCUGUUCUGGGCUACAAGGACCUUAAUCUCUUCAAACUGUUUAGACUGGUAUAUCAGCAGGGUGGGUGUGACAAUAUUGAGAGCGGUGCUGUUUGGAAGCAAAUUUAUAUGGACCUUGGCAUUCCUAUUUUGAACUCGGCUGCUUCUUACAAUGUAAAAACUGCUUACAGAAAGUAUCUUUAUGGUUUUGAAGAGUACUGCCGUUCUGCAAACAUUCAGUUUAGGACCAUUCAUCACAAUGAACCAAAAGUGGUAGAAGACGUACAGAAACACGAGGAACCAAUGGAGGAGAGUGUGAAAGAGGAGCAAAAAAUGCCUCCAACAGAAGCAAAAAAGGAAGCAGAAGAAAAUUAUUCCAGCAGCGAGAGCGAAAAAGAAGAAAUAGAGCUAAGAUCCCCAAGGGGACGAAGACGGCUUGCCCGUGACACAAACCCUGCUAAAAAAGAGAGUGAAGAUGAUAAAACACAAGACAAAUUAAAAGACAACAACAAGGAAAACAAAGAUAUAGAGGAAGCCCUCGAGAAUGCAGAAAAGAAAGAAAAUGAAACUCUACUAGGAAGAAAAAGUACGCCAAAGCAAAAAGAGAAAAAGAUUAAAAAACAGGAGGACUCUGAUAAAGAGUCAGAUGAAGAUGAGGAGAGGCAGAGGGAGAGGGAGGAGAUUGAGAACAAAGGAGAAUCAGAAGGUGAAGAGGAUGAAGAGGAUACAGAACCUUGCCUGACUGGAACCAAAGUGAAAGUAAAAUAUGGACGUGGAAAGACACAGAAAAUUUAUGAAGCCAGCAUUAAAAGCACUGAGACUGAUGAUGGAGAGGUUUUAUAUUUAGUGCAUUACUAUGGUUGGAAUGUAAGGUAUGAUGAAUGGGUGAAAGCUGAUCGCAUUAUUUGGCCUGUGGACAAAGGAGGACCAAAGAGAAAACAGAAGAAAAAAACAAAAAAUAAAGAAGACAGUGAAAAGGAUGAGAAGAAAGAUGAGGAGAAACAAAAAUCGAAGCGUGGGCGACCUCCUCUGAAAUCUACUCUUCCAUCAAACACAUCUUUAUCCAAAACACCGAAUAGUGAAGGUAAAUCAGGAGCCAGAAGUGCACGGAACAACUUGUCAGAUUCCUCACCUUUGCCAAAUGGAACAGAAGCAACACCUCGCAGGCAGACAAGACGUAGCUCAGGAAUGUUUGAUUCUGAUAGAGGAUCAAACGACUCUGCUUCGUCUGACAGUGAGGCAGAUGAAUCAUCUGAGAAGAACAUGAAUGAGGAGUUUUCUCCAGAAACUUCAGAACUGGAAAAGAAUGAAAAACAAAAUGAUGAGAAGCUAGACGAGGAAAGCCCAAAGAUUCCUCACGCACUGAGAGAAAAUGACAGGACUCAAGUGCAGCCAUUAGAAAUCCUGAAACUGGAAGUUGAAGAAAGUGAACAAAUAGUGCAGAUUUUUGGGAAUAAAACAGAGCAAACGGAAGAAGUCAAGAGGGAAGCUGAAAAAUCACCUAAAGGAAAAGGGAGAAGGAGCAAGACAAAAGAUGUCUGCUUAGAGAAUGCAAAGGUUUCUCCAGGAAGUCAAGAAGAGGUGGCUAAUGAGUCUCUUACAGAAAAUGAAAGAUUAGACUUGUCUUCCUUGGACUGCAAAGAGUUUUCCAGCACUACUGAAACUGAAACAGAGCCUUCCACAAAAGAUAAGAAGCUUUUGAAAAGGAAGAUUUUGGAGCAGGCUUCACCUGAGAAAAGAACUCGACGAGAGAGUGAGAUGGAAGUCCCAAAUAUUGUAUCUGAAGAGAGGACCAAUGAAUGUACUGGGGCAGAGGAAUGUAGAGGGCUGAAUGCUGAAGGGUCACUCAGAACUGAAAAUGAAGAAAUGCCAUCCCUCGUGGCAGAGUCUGUGCAGCAUGGGGAAGAGCUGAGGAGCGAGAACUUUCAGCGUCCGUCUGAAGAGAAUGAUAACGUUCCCUUGAAAGAUGAGGAUGACACAAUGCCUCACAUUGGUCCCGAAACUUUGCUGUGUCAUGAAGUGGACUUGGAUGACUUGGACGAAAAGGAGAAGAGCAGUAGUGAAGAUACGAUAUCGGAAAAGCCAGAUCCCAAUACUUCAAAUCCAGCUGCCUUACCUGCUGCUGUCCAGUCGAGCUUCUCAGUGGCCUCACCUCUGACACUUAGUCAAGACGAGUCCCGCAGCAUCAAGAGCGAAAGUGACAUGACUAUUGAAGUGGACAGUGUGGCAGAAGAAUCUCAAGAAGGGCUCUGUGAGAGUGAGUCUGCUAAUGGAUUUGAAGCCAGCACUACGUCCAGCAAUUGUAGCAUAGUGGUGCCAGAAAGAGACGUUGGAGAGAAGGGUCAAAAAAGGCCCAGUGAUAGCAAUAGUGGAACGCUGGCAAAAAAACAAAAGCGUACUCCAAAGCGAACAAGUGCUGCAGCCAAAAAUGAAAAGAAUGGAACAGGACAAAGCAGUGAUAGUGAAGACCUCCCUGUCCUGGACAGUUCCAGUAAAUGUACUCCUGUAAAACACUUAAACUCAUCAAAACCACAGAAGAUUUCUCGAUCACCUGCAAGAGUGAUUUCACCUCACAUCAAAGAUGGAGAAAAGGACAAACACAGAGAGAAACACCACCACCAGAAUUCUUCACCUAGAGUAUACAAGUGGAGUUUUCAGCUCAAUGAACUGGACAACAUGAGCAGCACUGAAAGGAUCUCCUUCUUACAAGAAAAGCUACAGGAAAUCCGAAAGUACUACAUGUCUCUGAAGUCAGAAGUGGCCACCAUAGACAGGAGAAGAAAGCGGUUAAAAAAGAAAGACAGAGAAGUGUCUCAUGCAGGGGCAUCCAUGUCAUCUGCUUCAUCAGACACUGGAAUGAGUCCAUCGUCGUCCUCCCCUCCACAAAACGUGCUUGCUGUAGAAUGCAGGUGAUACACGUUGCUCUGCCUUGCCAGCAGCUUGCUGCCAUGGACUUCAAUCCUGACAUUCAGCCACAGAAAGCACUCGACUGGUUUGACAUUGCCAAGUAUAUCCUGUACACACUUCCACUGCUGGACUGUAUCUGUUCUCCCCUCCUUCCCUCUCUUUUGUUGUUGUUGUUUUGUUCUGUUUUUAAGUUACCGUUUGGAGAAAUUAAGCUCAUUGAAGGUCGGUAGGCACAACGUGACAUGCUUGUCAUCGUGUUUGUUUCUGUUUUGUUUUUGUUAAUGCAGAGCAAGGGCACUUAUCAAAUUUGAAAAGUUAUGUCCAAUGAAGCAUUCAGGUGUUCUCGGGUAACCUUAGAGAAGCAAGUGCACCAGGUAGAGACAUCAGAGUAUUAUCCAAAUGAACUGAGUAACUGCUGCACUUUCACCGAGCCGUGGUAACUCGGUGAGUAGUUCCUCUUUGUGGAAGCACUUGCUAUACAGAACUGCCAAAGUACGUGUUCAGCAAUGUGCCCAGUUUUAAAGGUGUAAAUGGGACAAAAUAAAUUGUGAAAGGAAGUGUAGUUGACUGAAAACUACAGUUGUAAUAAGUCUUCCACUUUUUAUAGGAUUUUUGAGCACACAAUUAUGCAAAUAUUUUAAUGUUUAUUAAUGUUUACAGUGGAAUUGUGAAUAGGUUUUCAGUGGACUAUCUUAUCCCUUGACAAAAAUAUUUUGUCUUUUUUCUAUGUAAUUUCAGAGUUUUUAUUUUGUUACAAAAAGACGAAAAAUGAAUAUAUAACAACAAUGAAGUUAUUUAACAAGAUUUCUAAAGCUGAAAUUUUUGUGUAAAAUAAGGUAUCUUGCAACUUGUUAAAUAUAUUUAUUCAGACAUUGGAUGUUGUAUUUUUAUGUAUUUUUUAAAAUAUUAAUAAAAUUGGAAAAAAAAAAAAGAAAAAAAAAAAAAAAGCAAGCAACCAAACUAAGGUUAGUUCACUCUUUCGAUAAAACACAGCUGUCAGUUCUGGCUCUCACAGGAGGAUUUACCCGUGCCUGCAUUGAAAUGGGUCCGGCUCUGUGUCCUCCACCACGCAGAUCUGGAAGCGGGCAUCUGGAUUCGACUCUGACUUUGGUUGGAAAACUUUGGCAGUCCUACUCACCUUGUUUGGAGGAACAGAAUCUGUUGGGUUGCCCUUAAGAUACUUUGUCGCGAGUUCUUAUGUUUGCUAUGCUGCCGAAUGAAUUUCUAUCUCCCAAAGUUGAGAUGCAACCAUAAGGAAUGUUUACCUGCUCACAUCAGCCCAGAGCUCCUCAGAGCCCUGAAUUCUGUGACUGUCCCAGCAGAGAGCUGCACAGCCAGGAGAGGUGGAUGACUUUCUGCCAAGCCUGGAGCACGUCACUGCCUUCCUGCUUCUGUCUCUGGCAAGAAGGACAGCAGGUAGCUGAGAUUAUUCAGUGGAUGUUUCAAGGAAUAUUUUUAAAUGCCUGUAGAAACUGUAGUGAAAAGAGCAUUAUAUAAUGUGGAACUGCGCUGCUCUAAAAUUGAAAUCGACAAAAAUCUCUCCAAGGUCUUUUAUUUCUAACUUCACAAUCCCCUCAUUUCUGUGUUGUUGCCAUAAAGCAAACUCCAGAGUGCCUUUUCAGUGCCUUCAAUUAUGAAUGUAUUGAAUUGGGAUUUUUUUUAUUUUUGUUUUAAGAGACGUUUGCAGGAGCAAUGAAAACCAAAGCACCCUCUUGGCAGACCUCCCUGUUCUCCUGCCUCCUGAUCUCCAGGUUGUGUCAAGAUGAGAAGCACGACUUCCAGCUUAGUUGGCAGGUGAAAUAAAUUGCAGAGGAUGAUGGAAUCAAAUACUCUUAGAACUGUUAGAAAGAGCUGGGCUCUAGGAAAAUUCAGACCCUCCCCUGCCACCUACUGUUGAUAAGAAAGCUGGCAGAUUACUUCAGGUUGUGUAUUAGCAGCUAAUCUGAACACUAGAAAGCAACAUAAAACUUGCAUGCAAGGACAGACAGUAAGAAAAUGUUUGUAUCCUUACUUCUUUUAACUUAGAGUUGCUUUUCGUGAACGUGUGUAUCAGCUCUGUGUGUACUGAUGACUUUUUGUUUUUUCUAAGGUGUAAAUUAAGCAACACAUGGUUUAAUCUGCUCAUUUCUGAUUCCUCCUCGCAUCUGAGAAACCUCUUAAUCAGUGCUUCUGUCUUUCAGAGAUGUUGGGACAAUAAUAAAGCAUUAUUUCAACAGAAUUUAAAUAGGAUUACAGUAAUAAUUAAAAGCACAACAAGAGCAGGUAAGUUGCAUCUUCCUGAAGCACUGUGUUUGACUUUCACAGGGAGCAGCACAGACCUUAAAGCUAUGAGAUGGUAGAGAGGAAAAAGUGCAAUCAGUUCUUCACUGUGUGGUAUUCUGUGCAAGCUGCUCUCAGAUUGUAAAUUAAUUUUGAUACACAGUGACAGAUGAAUCCAGGCAGCAAUUUUUGAAGCAGGUUCAUCUGUGGGAAUGGCUACUAGAAUUGCACACGAUGGGUUUGGUGGGGAGGGAAGAAGGAUCCGUGGAUUCUGAGCUCACAUCUCUGCUCAGUGCUGAGGGCACCUGCUUUCUGCAAAUGGCUUUGUCAGCCAGAUGGAAUUUCACCCUGACAAGUCGGUGUCAAAUCCUUCCAAUAAAAUGUUCUUUUCCCCGUUAAAAAAAUGUUCUCUGCUUGUCUGAGGUGGUCAAAUGGGUUUCUGAGCAGCAUUUACUGGAAUUCUUUUACAGCAGAAAGUCUCAGAAAAGUGGUUCUGCUCUUCUUAAGAGCGUGUUUGGUUUGAUCACUUGAAACAAAGCUGACAGGUGAGCUGGAAGAGUGAUUUACAAGCUGCAACAAAAAGAGGACUGUUAACAGAGGUAUGUUGAGCUGUUUAUUUCGCAGUGCCCUUUGCAUUUUGCAGAUACUGUGCACUGAAACCUCAGUUAUUUUUAGGUCUCUGUACUUGGAUUUUAUUGUUUGCUGCAGUUUGCAGGAUAAAGGCUACCUCUGGAGAUGGAAGGAACAUGGCAGAGCAGCAGAACCCAUGGGGUGCUGCCAGAGCCUGACUGUAACAUCAGGGCUUAGAAAAAAAGGCUUUUUAUAAUUAGCUCACACUUAGCAAGCUAUCACCCUCAGAUUUUGAGCAAUUCUGUCAUUCUGCCAUGUUCUCUUCCUCCAGGUAGGAUGGUUUGUGAACACGUCCCCGGAGAGUUUAAAAUCGUUCACCUUCAUUAGUGACUACCUGAUGACCAUUAUUUAUUAGUGCUUGCUUGGUUUGGGUUUGGGUUGGUGUUUCUGGAGGAGAAGGGGGGAAUCCAUGAGUUCCACAAGGAUUUACUGUUCUCAUCCAUUGCUCUGGAGGAAUAUAUAAACUCAGUUUUUCUUUUUCAAAUGCAACUGGUCUCAAAAUGUACCUACUGUAAUGCGCUUUGGUGGUGGAUUUUCUGAGUAGUCACAGCCUGAUGAUGAAUUUUGCCAUUUAAAGAAAACAGAGAAGGUAGGACACUCUCAGCCAUGCAGCAGUUAACCAAGGCUCACCCUUUCUGGCUUCAUUACCUUCCCCGUUCUGCACUCUCAGCAGAUGUGUGCAGUUACUCCUGCUGUUUCCCCACGUUUCGGAGCAGGGCUGUGCUGGCUGGUGCUGCUGUAGGUCUGCAGCUCCCCGUGGUUUGUAUUGUCUGUUGGCUUGUACUGACAGCUUUCAAAGGUGAAAAUAUGUCUGUCUCAGUUUUAUGGCAUUUGGCUUUCAUUUAGCAUUACAGCUCACUAUGACAACACAGGAGCGUUGUGAACCUUCCUUACUUCCUCUGCAAAACAUAGUUUGCCAGCAUAGAGAAUCAGCACUAGAGGCCCAUUGCAGCUGUGCAAGCCUGCAGGACAUUUAGCUGCAGUGCAUUUGCUUGUAUUGAGCCAUGCUCUGGACAGUUAUUACAUGGUGUUGGCUCUAUCUCUCUAUUUCCCAGGUUUUCAGUCACCCAGCAGUAUUUCCAUGCAGCCCCAUCAGUUUCUUCAGCUAUUUCUAAACCACUUCGUUGCUAAUCCCUCAUCUGGGUACAGCUUGACCCAAUUUGCCACCAUCCUGCCAGCUCUGCUGAUUAUGUAAGGAGGAGCAAGAGAAGGCAUUUAUAUGAAAUACAUUGCUUGCGUUGUGCAAGGGUGACUUAUCCUUUUUAACAAGCCACUUGUUCACGUGUGCACAGUCUUACAGCCAUUGUUCAUCACACUGCUCACUCUUUAACCCUUUCCCUUUUCACUUUAUCACCAGGUGGCUGUGCUUCAUCCCAGCUCCUCCUGCUGCCUGCUCCGCCCUGAAGUGUAACUGGCACCACCCCACGUCUCCUGAAGACAAGAAAAAGCUAACACAGCUAUUGGGUAAUGAAAUAGCAGCAAGUUGUCAUUCUGCUGUACUAGCAAUCUGACUGUGGGAUCUCAGCUAUCAAGAUCCUUUCAAAAGAAGCAGUGUUUAUUCCUGAGCCAACAGCACAUAAUCAGAACGGUUUUCUCAGACUUUGCUCUGCACUCAGUCAGCAGCAAAUAAAAAGGCAUCGCCUUGUACGCAUGUAUUCACACUGAACUGUGUGAAUGCCAACAGAAAGGAGGAGCCUGCCAGCAAGCUCAGUGCUUGGAGCACAUCGUGCUUACAGCCAGCAGCAAAGCCAGUUUUGGAGGACCACUGGGUCCCCCAGAGGGAAACAAGGAGCGUAGAGUCAUUGCCUCUGGCAAAGGUGCUGCUAUGACACGUUAUUGUCACUUGUGAAUGACCUGGUGAAGCAUAAAGCCAGCAUAACCUAGGGAUAAGCUGGCAGGCAACCCUGCUUACCUGAACUCAUUAGUUACAGCCAAUGACUGCUGCUUACAGUAGCUCUUAGCUUGAUGCUCUAACAGGCUGCAGUCAGCACUCCAGGACACUCAGAAUGAUCUUAAGGCUCUAAGAGAGCAGCUGGCAACGAAACAAAAGUUCUUCCCAAGUUGAGAUAUGUAAAACGUUUGCAAAUCCCUACCUGCUAAAACCAAUCCAUUAAUUAGUUAUCUACCAAGCAGCAAAGAAUGAACAAGAGUCCAUAGGAGGAUGAUGAGGAAUGAAACUGCAACCAAAACAUGGCUCUCAAACAGCGUCCCAAAUGAUCUUUGGAAAAAACAUACAUACAACUGUAUGGUUCCAUUUACUUUACUUGAAUUAAAUUAAAAAAAAUGUAUUUCCAUAUUACACUUCUUUUGCCUCUGAAUCAGUCCUGACAGAAGAAAAAGUAUAACUUUCCCAUCCUCUUGAAAUUUAAACAUAGUAGUCUGUGGGCCCUGAAGAAAAAAUUGCUUUAUUCCACUGUAGAAUGGAAAAGACCUCAGCAAGAGACUCUGCUGUCAGACAGCACUCUCUAACUCUUUGCGUUACCCUCCACGGCUUCCAGUUUCCAAACACACCUACAGCAAUCUCUGGAGUUGCUGGACAUGCACCCUGACAGUAGGAAAUCCAAAACGUGUUCUUGCCCAGUGAACACUGGCACUGCUCGUGAAGUCUGAACAGAGCGCUCUUGUCUAACGAGGUUGGCUGAGCAGUCCUGCUUUCGCUGCCAGAGCUUCGUUCUGCUGAAUGUGAUACUCCUGAAAUCUCAUGGAGAUCCUCUGUGUCAUUUUCAAAUACUUCUGUAGGCAGUGUUCUGAGCAAGUUAUCUGGAGGAAGAGGAAAACAGCUUCAGAGAGUGAUGAAGACGCCCUCCUCAGCAGAAUCCCAAGUGAAAUAGUCAGGCCUUCAUGAAAAACAUCUUGGAGCCAGGAGAUGUUAACACUUCAUCCUUGGACUGCUCUUGUGAAGUGGAAGUACACAAAGGAUUUUAUUUUGCAGUAAGUACUAAACCUGAGAAAGGUUGUUUUUGUGUUGUUUCCCUCCUCUCUUUCUGAAUCCUGGUUUGCAAACACUAAUUUUUGACAGCCAGAUCUGCUCUACCUGUGUGGUAGCUCAGGUUAAGCUCUUUUUUUGACCUUGUUCCUAUUAGCUCUAGCAGCCUGGUUCACCUUCACAGGACAGCCCCUGAAGUGCUACCAGACAGCUUGCUGGAUAGGGGACAAACACCAGGGCCUGUUCCACAGCUGCUGUCAUGUUUUCAAGUGAGGGCAUUUUAUUUUUUCUUUCAAUAAUUGUAGAGAAAAAGCCAUGGGAUCUAUUUCUGAGUUACAGUUCUACCAGUCAGAUAUUCAGUUCCAAACCUUACAAUCACUGUAGAAGUCAUCACACUUAAAUACAAAAGAUGAGCACCUUGCAUGAGUACCAGAAAACCAGAAAUUGCUUUAAUGCUGCUCAGUGUAAAGGGAUGUGGAAAGCAGAGAUGAUGGAAGAAAAAAAGAUAACCUGCAACUGUACAUCCUCUCCAUUCUACUUUCUCUCUCCCUGACCUGGCAUCAGUUACAGUAAAACCUGUUCAGCAGGAGUUAAGUCUGACUAGGAAACAAAUGCUGUUGGAUUCUAGAAGCACCCCAAGCCACAUCUCCCAGAGGGUGUGGUGUCUGUGAUGCCCUGCCUGGGGAAGCCUAGACUUGUAGUGAAGAGUGCAGUAUGGAAUGAGGGCAGCAGCUGCUUUUACAAAUGCAGAAUCUCCAAGAUCCACAAAGGCAUUUAUCUUCAUUCUUAAGGAAGUACGACUUUAAAUAGGAAAUUAGGAUCAGAGCAGACCAGUCAUCCACUCAGACCAGUAUUCCAUAUCCACGAGGGCCACAGCCAGAUGCUUUGCAAGAAAAGCAUCCUGCGUAGCUCGAGCAGCUAAAAUGAGCUGGUGAAAGACAAUGGCAAAACCUUAUCCAGAGUAAUUCUGACACCUGCAAUCGAGAACGUUGCCAACAAAGCAAAUGCAGAGAAUUAUCAUGGGAACAAAGGAUCUGUCUUGGGAAGCCAGGAGAGCUUGGUUUAGCGCAGCAAAACAAAAGCUGAACGGAGAGAUGAUUUCUGCCUGCACUGAGGGACAGCUGUUAAACUCUAAGGAGGCAGCAAAUGCUCAAACACAAUGCAGGUUUAAAUGUUUGUGUGUGGUUUAGGUGGUUUUUGGGUGUUUUUUUUUUCCUGGUAGCUGGAAAGCUGGAGUUAAGCAAAGCUAUUAGACUUUUACCCAAUUAUAUUAAUUACACCAGUCUGAAGCCUCCCAGCAAGUGACGAAAGGCCAAGGACAACAUGCAACUCAUGUGAGCCAGAGCCUUUUCUUUUGGCAGAUGGGUAUGUGAUGGAGCUCCCUGCACUGCAGGCAACUGGACUGAGCAGCCAGAGCUGUGGGGGCAAUAGAUUUCCACCAGCACACCUCCCUGCUCACUGCAUGCCAGAACACUUCCACUCCUCCAAAGACAGCUGAUGAGCUUUUCAGCUAACUGAAAGAUCCAAACUGUCCAAAUCGCUGCUGAAAUUUGAGUAUUAAACAGAAAUUCUGCCUAAAGGUAAUUAAAAGCAUAGGAAACAUUUACAUACCUCUUCUGGCUUAACUUCUCUGGUGGUGAAAUCCCUUAUACAAUCCAUGAAGCAAUUUUCUGUGAUUUUAUUAUAUGUUCCCAGGAACUCCUUGAACUGCAUUAAAAAUUGAAAACACCAUUAAAAAAUA